rnacentral:lncRNA from 1 species
GCGCUUCAACAAUCUAGGCGAAGUUCUCUUCACUGAUUCAACUUUCUUCAGACUCUUCUUCUUCAUAAUCUUUUCAUUCUUAGAUUUUACCUGAUUAACCGCAUCAACAUCUUCAUUCCUCCGGCUUCUCGUCCUCCCAGCAACACCUUCUUCCACAUCCCUCUCCUCGAACUCAAGCUUUCUCACCAAAUCAUCCUCAGAUUCAUCAACCAACCUCCUUUUCCUCUUCAACACAUACGGAGCAAGAGGCAUAGGUGGGCUACUCUCCGUACACGUA